GGUCCUAUGGCUUAAUGGAUA
rnacentral:misc_RNA from 1 species